rnacentral:rRNA from 1 species
AUUGAACGCUGGCGGCAGGCUUAACACAUGCAAGUCGAGCGGAGAUGAGGUGCUUGCACCUUAUCUUAGCGGCGGACGGGUGAGUAAUGCUAGGAAUCUGCCUAUUAGUGGGGGACAACAUUCCGAAAGGAAUGCUAAUACCGCAUACGCCCUACGGGGGAAAGCAGGGGAUCUUCGGACCUUGCGCUAAUAGAUGAGCCUAAGUCGGAUUAGCUAGUUGGUGGGGUAAAGGCCUACCAAGGCGACGAUCUGUAGCGGGUCUGAGAGGAUGAUCCGCCACACUGGGACUGAGACACGGCCCAGACUCCUACGGGGGGCAGCAGUGGGGAAUAUUGGACAAUGGGCGGAAGCCUGAUCCAGCCAUGCCGCGUGUGUGAAGAAGGCCUUUUGGUUGUAAAGCACUUUAAGCGAGGAGGAGGCUACCUGGAUUAAUACUCUAGGAUAGUGGACGUUACUCGCAGAAUAAGCACUGGCUAACUCUGUGCCAGCAGCCGCCGUAACAC